rnacentral:lncRNA from 13 species
CUUUUACCCUCCCACACACAAACCCACAUCAAAGAGUCUGGGUGGCGCUGGGCCGGAACUCGUGGCCGCGCUCGCCUUGGUGCGCCUGGGCCAUGGGAGGAGGCUGCCGGGCCGCUCUUCCCCAGCACCUCCCUGAAGGAGCUCCGGGGGCAGCGAGGAUGCUGAGGACACAGCGCCAGAGAGGCAGGCGGCGGCCCCUGCAAGGAGCUGGUCCCCACAAAGCACUCGGAGAGCACGAGGUUCCUUCUCACCCACUCACAGCAACGCUGCACGAGACCCAAGGGGAGCCGUCAAUUAGAGCCGUGCUUGAGCCUAAGGCUGACCUGAACCGUUUGAAGGCAGAUCUUCCAUGGAACGCCCCGGUCCUUUUCUGGAAUGGUCAAAGGGACGAGAGGGGUCUCUGCAGUGUCCUGCAUCUGGUUUCAACCUCACCUUCUCCAUGUAUGAGAAGACAAGUCACUUGGAUUCACUGUGCCUCUGUUUCCCCAGGUGGUGAGAAGGACUCAGACUUUCGCACCUGGUCCCUCAGAGGAUGA